ACUCUUAGCGGUGGAUCACUUGGCUCGUGGAUCGAUGAAGAACGCAGCUAGCUGCGAUAAAUAGUGCGAAUUGCAGACGCAUUGAGCACAAAGAUUUCGAAUGCACAUUGCACGAUCGGGUUGAUUCCCGAUGGUACGUCUGGUUGAGGGUCAAUAUCGAUCAGAUUAUCAAAUAAUAUACUAAAAUUAAUACAUAUAUACAUAUGAAUAAUAUAUGUUUUGGAUAUAUUAUUUGUUAAAAUUAAUUCAUCAGGUGAUGAUGUGAUGAUAAUCAUUGAAAAAUGACAAAAUCCUCUGAUUAAGUAUAAUAAAAAUAGUAAGUAAAAAAGCAAAUACUUUUUACUUACAAAAUAUUUACAUAUUGGAAUAAAUAAUUUAAUCUUUCAUAUAUAUAACUGAUACAUCAUAAAUAUAUAUAGCAAAAGAAAGAUAUAAAUUAUUAUCAUUUUUUGAUCAUUAUUGCUAUAAUUAUUAUGCUGCUUGUUUAACUAUAAUAAUAGCAAUGAAUGAAUCAAAAUUUAAAUGAUACGUUAAAAUCCAACCAAUAUGUUAUAAAUUUUCUUUCAUUUUUGACCUCAACUCAGUCGUGAUUACCCGCUGAAUUUAAGCAUAUAACUAAGCGGAGGAAAAGAAACUAACGAGGAUUUCCUUAGUAACGGCGAGUGAAAAGGAAAAAGCCCAACGCUGAAUCCAAUAGUUAUUUAAACUAUAUGGAAAUGUAGCGUAUAAGUAUAACUAUUCGUAGCAUAUUUUACACCCAAAGUCCCCUUGAGCGGGGCUACAGUCCAUAGAAGGUGCUAGACCUGUACGGGUGAAAAAGUUACGAUAUGUUAUACUUUGGAGUCGGGUUGUUUGAGAUUGCAGCCCAAAGAGGGUGGUAAACCUCAUCUAAGGCUAAAUAUGACCACGAGACCGAUAGCAAACAAGUACCGUGAGGGAAAGUUGCAAAGAACUUUGAAGAGAGAGUUCAAGAGGGCGUGAAACCGCUGAGAUGGAAACGGAUAGAGUUAACGAAACAUAUCGAUAUUCAACCAAUCAAUUUAGCAAAUCUUAAUUUCAUUUAUUAUUCAUUUUUGAAUAAAAUGAUAUAAUAAGAUAGAAGUGCUUUUAUAUGAUUAGUGUAUUUAUCGAUUGUAUGCAUUGAGAGCUUCAUUUAAGCAUAUUAAUACAAUCAUUUAGUGGACCAAUUUUUUAAUCUAAUAAUUAAUAAUUGGAAUCCUAAAUAAUGUUGAAAUAUGUCUUAGAUGAAGUUUAAAUAAUAAAAUGUAACUUUCACUUGAAAUAAUAGUGACAUGCAUCGAUUAUAAUUUUUACUAAUUACAUUUACAUGUGGUCGCAUGCGACUUAUCGGUAAAUGGAUUAAUUUUUUAAAAGAAUUAGUAAAUUUAUUGUAUGCAUUUACAUGUAAUAUUAUAUGUAUAUAAAGUUACAUCUCAAUGUACACGGACCAGCAGGACGGUGGCCAUGGAAGUUGGAAACCGCUAAGGAAUGUGUAACAACUCACCUACCAAAUUAACUAUCCCUGAAAUGGAUGGCGCUUGAGCGGAAGACUUAUACUCAACCACUGCAUGGCUUGUAUUUAAAUUAAAUAAAAAAAACAAAAAAACCUGGCCACAACGAGUAAGAGUUUCGCAAUGGUUAGCGUUAAAGACUUUGGGCAUAGGCCCAAUUGGAGCUUCCAUUAGUGCAGAUCUUGGUGGUAGCAACAAAUAUUCAAAUGAGAUCCUUGAAGACUGAAGUGGAGAAGGGUUCCACGAACAGCAAAUGAAUGUGGGUCAGUCGAUCCUAUGAACUUGGCCAAUGCCGUUUAAUAAAAUAGAGGAAUAGAGGUGUAAUCCAUCAGAUAGAAUCGAAAAAGAAACAGGUUAAUAUUUCCUACGUGGACACGGAGGUAAAUGGUCAUCGUGAGAAUUUAGCGCGGUAACGCAAAUGAACUCAAAGACAUUGAGGAAGGCCCGAGCCAGUGAUCUCUUUUAUGAUUAAGGAACGGACUCCCUGAAAUCGGUUCAGCCGGAGAUAGGGAAGUUGUUUCCGUAAAGCGCCACGGUUCCUGUGGUGUCUCGUGCGCUUUGUUCGAUCCAUGAAAAUCCGAGGGAAGCUAUUUGAAUUUCGUGCCAGAUCGUACCCAUAUCCGCAGCAGGUCUGCAAGAUAAACAGCCUCUAGUCGAUAGAAUAAUGUAGGUAAGGGAAGUCGGCAAAUUAGAUCCGUAACUUGGGGAUAAGGAUUGGCUCUAAGGACUGGGCCGGUCGGGCUGUAAUGUGAAGUGAGUAUGAUUUGAUCCAUGCAAUGUAACAUUAAUGCUUAAAAAUCAUUGAUGAAACCCGGUUAGUAUUCGAACUGUCUUAUGGACCGUUAUAGCUGUGUAUCACAUUUACUUUUUUUUCCAAAAAAAUGAAUGUUUAAUUGAUAUUUCGGCCGGCGUCAAACAGUUAACUUAGAACUGGCAUGGACUCGGGGAAUCCGACUGUCUAAUUAAAACAAAGGAGACAGAUGGCCCUUGGGGCGUUGACUGUCUCUGAUUUCUGCCCAGUGCUCUGAAUGUAAAAGUGAAGAAAUUCAACCAAGCGCGGGUAAACGGCGGGAGUAACUAUGACUCUCUUAAGGUAGCCAAAUUCCUUGUCAUCUAAUUCGUGACGCGCAUGAAUGGAUUAACGAGAUUCCCACUGUCCCUAUCUACUAUCUAGCGAAACCACAGCCAAGGGAACGGGCUUGGUAAACACAGCGGGGAAAGAAGACCCUGUUGAACAUUUAAAACAUUAAAUAUAUUUAUGCUUAAGCAAAAUUUUUGUAUGCAUCAUUAAAAUUCGGUUAUCGUCGGUAAAAACUAAAGAUAUUGAUUAUAUAUAAGUAUAUCAAAAGAUUAAAUGAGACAUGUUUGUAAAAUUAAAAGAUUUAAUCAUUAUAUGCUGGGUGUCAAAGGAGCAGAGGAUAAAAGAGGAAGAGAAUCAAAGAUUUUAAAAGAAGUGAAUUUCGAUCGAUGGGGUCAGUUCUAUUAGUUUGAUAGGUAUCAGCAACCAGCAUCAGAGUCCAGCGAGCGGCUUCGAUGAUCCAACAACAGAAGCGACAGUUCCAGCAACAAAAAAAAUUGGAAGAUCGACGGCAAUAACAAAGAUUUACGAUAAUCCUAUUAACAUUCGAACAACUAUUAUAUCCUUUAUUCUUUUACUGUACAUUAUUAAUUUAAGAGGUACUGUAAUUUUAACCCCUUUGUGUAAUCCAUAUCAUUGUUUAAUUCGUAUCGUUGUUUUGACCCAUAGCUUUGUUCAAUUCAUACCAUUAUGUAUGUGUUAUAACAUUUAUAACUUGAUAAAAAAAGCCUAUUGUUGACUUAGCCGAGUCACCAUAAUAAACGAUCAACCUCAUCCCAAGAAUAAAAAAGAUCCUCUCUUCUAAUUCUCAUAGGAUGGAAGACGAAAAAUAUUUUCUUUCUCUUAAAAAUUUUUUUAUUUGCAAUAUUUACAUAAAAUUUGUGCAAUACAUAUUUAAUGAAUUGACGCCAUUUAAUGGAUUCUUUCUUUUUAUACUAUCUCAAUCCAGAAUUUCACAGUAGAAUGUAGACUGCUAGCGACAUUUAUAAAACUGUACGUAAAAAUUUGAAAAUAUUUUCUUUCAAAUAACAAUAAUCUGCUAUUCUAUUGUUAAAUGUCAAAAUUUGAAUCUGUUGUACUUUGAUCCGUUAAACCUCCUACACGUGAUCUCAAAUUAUUGCUAUAUUCGGACUCUUCUUUGCAUCAUAAAAAUACAAAUAUAUAAAAAGAUUUUUUUGCCAUUUGUACAAUAUCAUCCAUAAACAAUGAUAGGAAAAUAGUUCUUUUAUUUUCUUCAUUUUUUUGAAUUUCUGAAUUUUUGUUUAUGUGUAUAAAUCUUUCUCCCGAACUUAAACUAUACACGAUCAAUCAUGGAGAAAGAUCAAUCCAUCAGAAAAAUUACUGCGUUGAUAUAUUAUCGAACAGCAAUAUUCCAUUCUUAUUCUAGCAUAAUGUUUUGUUUUGUCACAAAGGCAAAGACUUAUGCUUGUCACCAUUGAUGGAUUUUCCUUUUCUAUGAUUAACUGUAUUAUUUGAAGUGCUGGGAAUCACUGAAUAAAAUUCAGUAUGUAUUAUUUAUAGCAGUGUUAGAAAUGUAGAGCAGACCAAAAGCUGUCGAUAAUGCAAUAUUACUUAAAUUAUUUAUUCAUUUUUUGAUCUAUGAAGAAAUUAGACAAUCGAUGAAAUCAAUUUUAAUAAAUAUGAUGCUCGUGAUUAAACUGAUAUUUAAAAUGAAAAUUUUAAUACGCGCAAAGAAAAAAUUGGUUGUUAUUUUUAUGAAUAGAACUUCUCGACGGUGAGCUUAUUCGGAAAGCGACCAAUGUUUUUAACAAAUAUAACUAGCGUUUCAAAACUCAAUUUUUUCCCUUUGUAUGCUUUGAGGACCCUGCAAUAUUAAUUUUAAAAGAUAUUUUUAAUAUAACAUUAACUUUAAAGGAUAUAGACCAUUGCGAAUCGAAGCAACGGUAAAUAUCUUUUAAAGUUAGUAUCAGAAUGAAGAACAUUAUAGCUGAAACUUCAGGAAAAAAAAACCUUUUAAGUCAUACAUUUCAAUAUUUUUAUAGCCAAAAUCUUUUAAAAAAAGAUUAAGAAUUUAAUAAAUAAAAAUUGAAAUUUAUGAAGUUUCGUGAUUUUAGAUAAUUUAUCCUAGCAAGCUAAAAACAGCUUAUUUGAAUUAUUAAAUGGGUUCGCUGUUUAAAAUGAUAUUGAAGCGAAACUUCAUCGAUAUCGAAAGACGAAGACAGCAAAGAAUUGUCAAUCACUGGUACUUCUUCUGAAUAUAGAAUUUCUGGCAAACUCAGAAGCGAAAUUUGGUGAUAUCAGUUUUUGUACUUCUUGAGAAGUCGAUGAAUAUCUGAAAUGAUUUAUAAGGGAUGUUAAUGGAAGAAUUCAUCAACUUUCAUGAAAGUUGUCAUGGGAAAAUUAAUAUGUAUGUCAAAAAUUCUUUAUGCACACCUGCAAGAAAGUAUUCUGCGUAUAUUCGUAUUUUGUUGAAAGAUUAAUUUUGAAUACAGACAUGUUCGAUGAUCACCUGAUCAAGAGUAGUUUGACUGAUCGAAUAAUCCACUAAACUGGCUAAUUCUGCAAAUUUUGCAACCUUCUCAAAGAGCAUUGACCAUGUCUCUCCCUUCUGCAUUGCUAAUUUGUAAUUCAAGUGCAAUAUAUGCUCAUCCUAAAAAUUUUUGCAAAAUUUUGUUAACAGCAAAAUUUAUUGCAAAUUCUGAAGCGUUAAAAUUUAAAAUUUUUUCUUUGCUCACUCCAAUUCGUUCUGAAAUAAGAAUAUUCGGAUACCAUCAAUCGGGCAUCGGGAAACAUUUUUUAAUCAAUUCUUUUGUUGGUCCAAUCUGACUGCUUGUGCUUAAUCGUAUUGCUAAACUAUAUCCGCUACUGUAUCUGAAAAUAACUAAUUCGAUAAAGUUGGACAAAUUCUAUUGUAUCGAUUUUAGCAGUUUGUUCAAUUUUUUUAAAUCAGCAUGCACUAUUUUCAAUGUCUAUUUCGGAACUGUGAUCAGAAACAAUUUGUAAAAAAAAAAUUACUUUGAUAUUAAAUUUGUUACUAAAAUCGUAAUUUUUUAUUUAACAGAACCAAUGAUUUUUACUUCGAUUUGAUGUGUUGUGUACUGCCAAGACAUCUGAAUUCACCAUUUGUCAUAAUUGCUAUUCGUGUACAAAGUGCUUCGCACUCCUCCAUACUAUGCGAAGUUAACACCAAGGCAGUAUCACUUUCUCUAAUCUUAAAUAAUUAUCCUGAAUGGUAAUUAAAUUAAAACAAAAUACGCUGAAAUAAUUUAAAAGGUGAACUUUAAAUUUUCUCCUUUUUCAUUUAUUCGUCUAUUUUCAAAAUGAUUUUUAAACUUACUUUUGACAGAAUAUCCCAAAUAAGAUGACUUCCUUUGGAUCAAUUCCAGUUGUUGGUUCAUCCAAUAGCAGAACAUCAGGUAACGUUAAUAAGGCAAUGCCAAGACUUAAACGCCGUUUGUUGCCACCAAUGAAAUUAAAAUUAUUUUUACAACAAAAUUUAGUUUUAUCUUAUUUUCUUCUUCUCUGUUUAAUUUAUCUUCAUCUUCUCUUUUCACUUUAUUUUUUAUCUGCCUUUCCUUCCUUGA